UACAGGAGGGGCAAGCGUUGUUCGGAAUUACUGGGCGUAAAGGGCGCGUAGGCGGCCUUCUAAGUCGAAACGGUGAAAUCCCCGGGCCUCGAACCCGGGAACUGCGUCCGAUACUGGAAGGCUUGGAAUCCGGGAGAGGGAUGUGGAAUUCCUGGUGUAGCGGUGAAAUGCGCAGAUAUCAGGAGGAACACCGGUGGCGAAGGCGGGUCUCUGGGCCGAUACUGACGCUGAGGAGCGAAAGCGUGGGGAGCGAACAGG
rnacentral:rRNA from 1 species